rnacentral:rRNA from 1 species
CCCUUAGAUGUUCGGGGCCGCACGCGCGCUACACUGAAGGACUCAGCGUGUCUCUCCCCCUAUCCCGAAAGGGAUGGGCAACCCGUUGAACCACCUUCGUGCUAGGGAUUGGGGUUUGCAAUUAUCCCCCAUGAACGAGGAAUUCCCAGUAAGCGCGAGUCAUCAGCUCGCGUUGAUUACGUCCCUGCCCUUUGUACACACCGCCCGUCGCUACUACCGAUUGGAUGGUUUAGUGAGACCCUCGGAUCGGUCCCGACUCGGGGUGGGCUUCUGCCCCGGUCGUGGUUUCGCCGAGAAGACGGUCAAACUUGACUAUCUAGAGGAAGUAAAAGUCGUAACA